AAAUAGAACUUUGCAGAGAGAGUUACCAGGGCGUGAAACCGUCAAUUGCCAAACGAAUCGGAGCCACGAAGUCGUUUCGUUAGUCUAGUUAAGUUGAGUUCAGUUUAAGAAUAACAAUUCUUAAAUGUAUUCUCUAAAACUUAACCAGUCAUUGUAAGCGUACACUGCAACUAGUUAGACGAUUGGUUAUGGGCCCAGUUGAUUUGUUAUAAGGCGCAAGUUUUGUACAAGUUAGCGAAGCAUUUGUUUAGUUGAAUUAGUAGUAGCGUGGUUGAGCUUCGGCUUUUCUCGUGUUGCUGGAUUUAUGCUAAGUGAACUAUAACCAAAUACUGACUAGAAAAAUGAAAAUCGCCUCGCUACGAGUGCGUUAUAUAAAAGGCAGUAUUUUAUACAUGAUGCUUACACAAUUGACCAUUAGGUUUAAGCUCGGCAUUUUUGAAUUUAGACUUGCUUGCUACCAGUGGGGCAACUCCUGGUGCUUGUAUAGCUUCUAUCUAAUCGGGUGUCGACUUAAUUUAAUGUUGUUUAGUUGUGCUACGAUAGAGUAUUUGUAUAAGAAUAUUUGCCAUUUUGAAUUGGCAGUGAGUAGGUCGGCUUUCCGAACGACCCGUCUUGAAACACGGACCAAGGAGUCUAAUUAGGCAUCAAGUCGAUCGGUCUUGAAUAGGCCAGACUAAGUUAAACUUGUUUAACUUGAUUGAAGGCGUAGAGAAAUCAAAUCAUGUGAUCUAGCGAACAAAAACAGUUUGCUGGCGCAACAUGUGCCUGGUCGUAUAGCAAUGUUAGCAAUAACUUGCUGAACGGAACAAAGAGAUGCUUGAUUGGUACC
rnacentral:rRNA from 1 species